rnacentral:tRNA from 1 species
GCCGCUGUAGCUCAGCAGGUAGAGCGGUGCUCUCGUAAAGCACAGGUCAUCGGUUCAAGCCCGAUCAGCGGCU